rnacentral:lncRNA from 1 species
GAAACUGUUGAGUGUGAAAAACCCAGCAACGUUGCAAUUCUUGACACAAACCAUUGCGCCUGGCACCUACUACCAUACCCAUUCAAAGGCACUUAAAUCUUUUGUCUUGCCCAUUCACCCUCUGAAUGGCACACAUACACAAUCCAUGUCUCAAUUGUCUCAAGUCUUAAAAAUCCUUCUUUAACCUGUCUCCCCUUUAUCUACAAUGAUUGAAGUGGAUUUAACAGGUUGAUUUCUGGGGGCCAGUUGCUGUGCGUGGAUGGACACAGUAUGGCAGGAUUCUCACAGGGAAGGUUGCCAAGCAGAGGGCAGCAUACCAUGGUCUGGCUGACCUGCUUGAUGAACCACCUCCGCAUUGGAUGGUAGUGGCCCUGCUAAGUCCAACGGUAAGACCGUGAUCCUGUAUGAGGGUAUGGAGCAGACUAUGGGGUAAUAACCUUCCCCAUGGAGGGAACAGAACACAGAGAGAACAGGCCCUGCUGGAGAACAGACAGCUGUACUGCUCCAGCCCCAACAUGUGCAGAGUCCAGGAGGACAACAUCAGAGGUGAUGCAGCCCCUGAGAAUCUCACAUCAAAUGACUCCACCAAAGUCAAAGCCUUGAAUCUGUGGAGAACAUUGCUGCCCCACAUCUCAAGCACUAAGCCCAGGACAGACCUGUGCUGGCAGUGGCAGAGGAACAACUAUCAGGUCUUCAGAUCUGCCAAUCUGACAGAAGCUGUUAAAUCAGCCAAGCUGAAGAAGCAAGAGCAGCAUCUCCUGCUUGUUCAGAGUGAGCAGUCUGUCUACCAGAAGAUGGUUGCUGACAGUAAUACCAUCUGUCAAGACCUGCAGUUGACUCUGGGGCCCUACUGAACCAGCAAAGACAUCAGGAUGCAUUACAGCUUUGAUUUUACUCAACAAGUGCACUAUCCUUUUGACCCUAUGCAGCCAGGUCCCAUCUAAUUUUUAACUUCUCGCAAGUGUGUCUUGUUUGGUGUCGGCUGUGAAGGAAUACCACAACAAGUCAACUACUUGAUUGAUGAAGGCAUGUCAUCCAGCAAAGACAGCAGCAGUCAUCAACUACAUGCACCAUUUCUUCACCAACUACAGAGUUGGCGAAACACGUGUGGACCUGAAUUGUGAUAACUGCAGUGGCCAAAAUAAGAACAAGUUUGUGCUCUGGUAUUGUGCCUGGCGGACCAUGCACAAGCUCCACCACAGUCUGGAACUUCACUUCCUGAUCACAGGCCACACCAAGUUUUCCCCCGACUGGUGCAUCAGCCUCAUCAAGCAGCGCUUCAGAAAGACCAGAGUGAACACUUUGUCUGAGAUUGCUGGUGUUGUGAAGGACAUCACUGUGACAGGGGUCAACAUCCCAGAGCUGGUUGGACUGCUGGUGGAAAGCUAUGGCUGGCAACAACACCUGACUCCGUACUUCAGGCCGCUGCCACAGAUCAAGCAGUACCAGCACUUCAG